AACGAACGCUGGCGGCAUGCCUAACACAUGCAAGUCGAACGAGACCUUCGGGUCUAGUGGCGCACGGGUGCGUAACGCGUGGGAACCUGCCCUUAGGUUCGGAAUAACUCCCCGAAAGGGGUGCUAAUACCGGAUAAUGUCUUCGGCCCAAACAUUUAUCGCCUUUGGAUGGGCCCGCGUUGGAUUAGCUAGUUGGUAGGGUAAAAGCCUACCAAGGCGACGAUCCAUAGCUGGUCUGAGAGGAUGAUCAGCCACAAUGGGACUGAGACACGGCCCAGACCCCUACGGCAGGCAGCAGUGGGGAAUAUUGGACAAUGGGCGAAAGCCUGAUCCAGCAAUGCCGCGUGAGCGAUGAAGGCCUUAGGGUUGUAAAGCUCUUUUACCCGGGAUGAUAAUGACAGUACCGGGAGAAUAAGCUCCGGCUAACUCCGUG
rnacentral:rRNA from 1 species